GGGUUGUGAGGUUAAGCGACUAAGCGUACACGGUGGAUGCCCUGGCAGUCAGAGGCGAUGAAGGACGUGCUAAUCUGCGAUAAGCGUCGGUAAGGUGAUAUGAACCGUUAUAACCGGCGAUUUCCGAAUGGGGAAACCCAGUGUGUUUCGACACACUAUCAUUAACUGAAUCCAUAGGUUAAUGAGGCGAACCGGGGGAACUGAAACAUCUAAGUACCCCGAGGAAAAGAAAUCAACCGAGAUUCCCCCAGUAGCGGCGAGCGAACGGGGAGGAGCCCAGAGCCUGAAUCAGUGUGUGUGUUAGUGGAAGCGUCUGGAAAGGCGCGCGAUACAGGGUGACAGCCCCGUACACAAAAAUGCACAUGCUGUGAGCUCGAUGAGUAGGGCGGGACACGUGGUAUCCUGUCUGAAUAUGGGGGGACCAUCCUCCAAGGCUAAAUACUCCUGACUGACCGAUAGUGAACCAGUACCGUGAGGGAAAGGCGAAAAGAACCCCGGCGAGGGGAGUGAAAAAGAACCUGAAACCGUGUACGUACAAGCAGUGGGAGCCUCUUAAUGGGGUGACUGCGUACCUUUUGUAUAAUGGGUCAGCGACUUAUAUUCUGUAGCAAGGUUAACCGAAUAGGGGAGCCGAAGGGAAACCGAGUCUUAACUGGGCGUUAAGUUGCAGGGUAUAGACCCGAAACCCGGUGAUCUAGCCAUGGGCAGGUUGAAGGUUGGGUAACACUAACUGGAGGACCGAACCGACUAAUGUUGAAAAAUUAGCGGAUGACUUGUGGCUGGGGGUGAAAGGCCAAUCAAACCGGGAGAUAGCUGGUUCUCCCCGAAAGCUAUUUAGGUAGCGCCUCGUGAAUUCAUCUCCGGGGGUAGAGCACUGUUUCGGCAAGGGGGUCAUCCCGACUUACCAACCCGAUGCAAACUGCGAAUACCGGAGAAUGUUAUCACGGGAGACACACGGCGGGUGCUAACGUCCGUCGUGAAGAGGGAAACAACCCAGACCGCCAGCUAAGGUCCCAAAGUCAUGGUUAAGUGGGAAACGAUGUGGGAAGGCCCAGACAGCCAGGAUGUUGGCUUAGAAGCAGCCAUCAUUUAAAGAAAGCGUAAUAGCUCACUGGUCGAGUCGGCCUGCGCGGAAGAUGUAACGGGGCUAAACCAUGCACCGAAGCUGCGGCAGCGACACUAUGUGUUGUUGGGUAGGGGAGCGUUCUGUAAGCCUGUGAAGGUGGCCUGUGAGGGUUGCUGGAGGUAUCAGAAGUGCGAAUGCUGACAUAAGUAACGAUAAAGCGGGUGAAAAGCCCGCUCGCCGGAAGACCAAGGGUUCCUGUCCAACGUUAAUCGGGGCAGGGUGAGUCGACCCCUAAGGCGAGGCCGAAAGGCGUAGUCGAUGGGAAACAGGUUAAUAUUCCUGUACUUGGUGUUACUGCGAAGGGGGGACGGAGAAGGCUAUGUUGGCCGGGCGACGGUUGUCCCGGUUUAAGCGUGUAGGCUGGUUUUCCAGGCAAAUCCGGAAAACCAAGGCUGAGGCGUGAUGACGAGGCACUACGGUGCUGAAGUGACAAAUGCCCUGCUUCCAGGAAAAGCCUCUAAGCAUCAGGUAACAUCAAAUCGUACCCCAAACCGACACAGGUGGUCAGGUAGAGAAUACCAAGGCGCUUGAGAGAACUCGGGUGAAGGAACUAGGCAAAAUGGUGCCGUAACUUCGGGAGAAGGCACGCUGAUAUGUAGGUGAAGCGACUUGCUCGUGGAGCUGAAAUCAGUCGAAGAUACCAGCUGGCUGCAACUGUUUAUUAAAAACACAGCACUGUGCAAACACGAAAGUGGACGUAUACGGUGUGACGCCUGCCCGGUGCCGGAAGGUUAAUUGAUGGGGUUAGCGGUAACGCGAAGCUCUUGAUCGAAGCCCCGGUAAACGGCGGCCGUAACUAUAACGGUCCUAAGGUAGCGAAAUUCCUUGUCGGGUAAGUUCCGACCUGCACGAAUGGCGUAAUGAUGGCCAGGCUGUCUCCACCCGAGACUCAGUGAAAUUGAACUCGCUGUGAAGAUGCAGUGUACCCGCGGCAAGACGGAAAGACCCCGUGAACCUUUACUAUAGCUUGACACUGAACAUUGAGCCUUGAUGUGUAGGAUAGGUGGGAGGCUUUGAAGUGUGGACGCCAGUCUGCAUGGAGCCGACCUUGAAAUACCACCCUUUAAUGUUUGAUGUUCUAACGUUGGCCCCUAAUCGGGGUUGCGGACAGUGUCUGGUGGGUAGUUUGACUGGGGCGGUCUCCUCCUAAAGAGUAACGGAGGAGCACGAAGGUUGGCUAAUCCUGGUCGGACAUCAGGAGGUUAGUGCAAUGGCAUAAGCCAGCUUGACUGCGAGCGUGACGGCGCGAGCAGGUGCGAAAGCAGGUCAUAGUGAUCCGGUGGUUCUGAAUGGAAGGGCCAUCGCUCAACGGAUAAAAGGUACUCCGGGGAUAACAGGCUGAUACCGCCCAAGAGUUCAUAUCGACGGCGGUGUUUGGCACCUCGAUGUCGGCUCAUCACAUCCUGGGGCUGAAGUAGGUCCCAAGGGUAUGGCUGUUCGCCAUUUAAAGUGGUACGCGAGCUGGGUUUAGAACGUCGUGAGACAGUUCGGUCCCUAUCUGCCGUGGGCGCUGGAGAACUGAGGGGGGCUGCUCCUAGUACGAGAGGACCGGAGUGGACGCAUCACUGGUGUUCGGGUUGUCAUGCCAAUGGCACUGCCCGGUAGCUAAAUGCGGAAGAGAUAAGUGCUGAAAGCAUCUAAGCACGAAACUUGCCCCGAGAUGAGUUCUCCCUGAGACUUAGAGUCUCCUGAAGGAACGUUGAAGACGACGACGUUGAUAGGCCGGGUGUGUAAGCGCAGCGAUGCGUUGAGCUAACCGGUACUAAUGAACCGUGAGGCUUAACCUUACAACGCCGAAG
rnacentral:rRNA from 1 species